rnacentral:tRNA from 1 species
UUGGCUAUGGCCGGGGCUGCUGGCGGCAGUGCUAUUGAUUAGCACCGCCGUGCUGGCGUUCGGCGCGCUGUGGCUGGAC